rnacentral:lncRNA from 13 species
CCGGACUCCUAGCCACGCUGAAGGCAGAAGAAAACAGGCUCAGAGCAGGGCAGCUCGAAGUCACACAGCUCAGUUCCUCUCCACUCCAAUGACCCCGUCUGUGCCAGACACUGGGCUAAGUGCUGACAAGACCGACCUGAAAAUGACACAAGGGUCUUUGGCAUCAGGUGUGCUAGAAUCCAGGGUUGAAAUCAAACAGCCAUGACUAACAGCAGGGGACUCGGCUUGGACUUU